CCUACGGGUGGCUGCAGUAGGGAAUAUUGGUCAAUGGAUGGAAGUCUGAACCAGCCAUGCCGCGUGCAGGAAGAAGGCCUUCUGGGUUGUAAACUGCUUUUGCCAGGGGCUAAAAAGCUCAUGCGUGGGAAAUUGAAAGUACCUGGUGAAUAAGCCACGGCUAACUACGUGCCAGCAGCCGCGGUAAUACGUAGGUGGCGAGCGUUGUCCGGAUUUAUUGGGUUUAAAGGGUGCGUAGGCGGCUUUGUAAGUCAGUGGUGAAAUAUGGCAGCUUA
rnacentral:rRNA from 1 species